GCAAGAGGUUCCCCAAUAGAAAAGCGCUUGAAGUAACGGAAAGAAGUAUAAUGUGCCCUGGACAUAUAAUUGAGACCGACAAACAGAAGGUCAUCGUGAG